UACGGAGGGUGCAAGCGUUAUCCGGAAUCACUGGGUUUAAAGGGUGCGUAGGCGGCUAUGUAAGUCAGUUGUGAAAUACCUCGGCUUAACCGAAGGAAGUGCGAUUGAUACUGCGUAGCUUGAAUCAGGUUGAGGUAGGCGGAAUGUGGCAUGUAGCGGUGAAAUGCUUAGAUAUGCCAUAGAACACCGAUUGCGAAGGCAGCUUACUAGACUGUAACUGACGCUGAGGCACGAAAGUGUGGGGAUCAAACAGG
rnacentral:rRNA from 1 species